GGCUCAGGACGAACGCUGGCGGCGUGCCUAAUACAUGCAAGUCGAACGGUCUUUCUAUGGAAGCUUGCUUCCACUGAGAAGAUAGUGGCGAACGGGUGAGUAACACGUGGGGUAACCUGCCCAUAAGAGGGGGGAUAACAUCCGGAAACGGGUGCUAAUACCGCAUAGUUUUCUUGAUCGCAUGAUCGGGAAAGGAAAGACGGCCUUUGUGCUGUCGCUUAUGGAUGGACCCGCGGCGUAUUAGUUAGUUGGUGAGGUAACGGCUCACCAAGACGAUGAUACGUAGCCGACCUGAGAGGGUGAUCGGCCACAUUGGGACUGAGACACGGCCCAAACUCCUACGGGAGGCAGCAGUAGGGAAUCUUCCGCAAUGGACGAAAGUCUGACGGAGCAACGCCGCGUGAGUGAAGAAAGGUUUUCGGAUCGUAAAACUCUGUUGUCAGAGAAGAACAAGUUGGAGAGUAACUGCUCCAGCCUUGACGGUAUCUGACCAGAAAGCCACGGCUAACUACGUGCCAGCCGCAGC
rnacentral:rRNA from 1 species